rnacentral:rRNA from 1 species
AGAACGAACGCUGGCGGCAUGCCUAACACAUGCAAGUCGAACGAGACCUUCGGGUCUAGUGGCGCACGGGUGCGUAACGCGUGGGAAUCUGCCCUUAGGUUCGGAAUAACAGUUAGAAAUGACUGCUAAUACCGGAUAAUGUCUUCGGACCAAAGAUUUAUUGCCUAAGGAUGAGCCCGCGUAAGAUUAGCUUGUUGGUGAGGUAAAGGCUCACCAAGGCGACGAUCUUUAGCUGGUCUGAGAGGAUGAUCAGCCACACUGGGACUGAGACACGGCCCAGACUCCGUACGGGAGCAGCGAGGUGGGGAAUAUUGGACAAGUGGGACGAAAGCCUGAUCCAGCAAGUGCCGCGUGAGUGAUGAAGGCUUAGGUGUAAGCUACCGUUUACCGGAUGAUAAGUGACGAGUACGGAAGAAUAACGACCCGG